UGAUCGGUGAAAUCUGAUUUCUUCUCCUCGCCAUACAGAGUUGAUUGAGACUGAUAAAUAUAAAGAGAAGAAAAAUCGUGAGAAAAAAAACAACAAGGGUUUUGACUCUUGAGUUUCCGCAGGCAUGCUCUAACCAAGAACACUGUGGAUAUAUUGUGAUCAUAUUUCAAUGGAGAACCGUCUUCUAACAGACAUGAAUAUUUCAAUGGAGAACCGUCUUCCAACAGAGAUCAAGUUAGACAUAUUUUCCCGCUUACCUGCUGAGUCAGUCUUUCAGUGUGAACAAGUAUGCAAAACGUGGCUAGCUCUCCUCAAAAGUCCUAGCUUUGCUGAUAUGCACCUGCUUCGGUCACUUGAGCUUGGUAAGGUGAGUCUUCUUUACUUACAUGCGGAGGUUAAUGGUCAUGAUAAAAGACUGCACUAUGGAGAAUAUUAUGAGAAUGAUGCGGAGUUUACCAAGGUUUUUAAAAGAAUCAUCCACCCUCCUCUUGACAUGGAAGGAAAGAUCAUGGGUUUGUGCAACGGUUUAAUUUGUGUCGAUGAGUCUGACAUUGGUGGGUCUAUCUAUAUAUGUAACCCCGUCACUAGAGAAUUUGUUAAUCUUCCUUCGUAUGAGAGUAAAGAUAUUACGGAUAAAUAUGAUUUGCUUUCGAUGUCUUGUGGAUUCGGUUACCUUCCUGCGACAAAUGAAUACAAGGUUGUUAGGAUUAUCUUUUGCCAAGAGCUUAUUAAGCUACACGAACGUCCAUCAAGAAAGAUGGUUGAAAGAUACAUCCAGGUAUACACUCUUGGUGGUGGCAGUGGGUGGAGAGACAAAGGUAAGAUUAUGUUUUCACUAUCAGGAUCAUGUUUCCAUGCAAACGGGGCUCUUCACUGGUUGGAUGGAAACUUGAAUAUCAUGGCAUUCGAUUUGGCAGAUGAACAGUUCCGCACGCCCCAAACACCUCCUUUUGUGGACCCUAAUGAUGAAAAUCCUUUUGGUGCCGAUGUUGGCUUAGAUGAUGAUGUUUUUUUACGGGUUUUAGGUGGUUGUGUGCUGUUCACAGGAAGCUUAAUAAAAGCAUAGAUAUAUGGUCAUUCAGAAAAACAGAUAGUACUAAUCUAAAGGUGGGAGAACAACAACACCAGAUAUGGAGCUGGCACCUGGAAGUUAGUAUACCUAAUCGUACUCUAAUCAUGUAUGACCCGUUCGCGUUUACAAAGAAGAAUGAAGUUUUGCUGUGGUAUGGUGAAUCUGGUAAAUAUCCAGAUGACUACAAUCACAACCUUCUGUUCAUCUAUGAUUGUGAUCAAGAUGUUUCUGACGAUGGUUAUGGUUCUGAAGAUGGUCAUGGUUAUGGUUGUGGUUAUGUACAUAUCGAUCAGUUUGCUACUGCUUUUAUGCAUCUUGAAGCAAUUCCUCACUUGAACAGCUUUAUUUCAUUGGAAGCCCUAGGAGAAGGUGAUGUAAACAAACUUCCAUACGCGGAAGAACUACUAGACUCCGACAUGUCGGAAAGUAACUCAGAGGCCAGUUCGGAGGAGGAUGAUGAGUAUAUCUGUGAUAAUUGCAAGUCAUCUUGGGUUGAAGAAGCAGAUGGAGAAGAGGAAUACCAUGAGGAUGAGGAUGACGAAGAUGAAGAUUAAACUUAUGGUGCCCUACAACUUCAAAUCUCAUUAUCCACUUGCUUCACAGUAAUUGUUUUUCUUAUUUUUACGGUCGACUGGAAAAC